GGAGGGGUGCCAGAACGGUAUUGGGGCGGCCUCGAAAGCCGCUUGGCUUUACGCCUUUGUGGGUUCGAAUCCCACCCCCUCCGCAA
rnacentral:tRNA from 1 species